AGUGCGGUGUCUUCUUAGCUGAGUUUCUGAGAUGCCUCAGUCCCAGGCAUCCUGAGCCCACACCACUGUGACCAUGUAGGCUCUGAGCAAACCGGGUCAAGCUACCAACCAGAGGACUCAGGGGGAGCCCUUGCUGCUGGUUUUGCCCCUUAUUGUUUUCUGGGACUAGAAGACUGUAGAAAACGAUAAAGGAAGACGUGAGGGUACAUCAGAACAUAGACCGUGUUUUGGAAGGCAGCCAAUGCAGACAAAUCAAGAAAUUAACAUUCAGUGUCUCCAUCAUCAUCACCAUCCAGAAGGGAUGCAUUCAUGGCUCUGGAUUAGCAAGACAUGGAGGAUAGAACUGUGCUGGUAUUUACUGGUGGCCACCCUUCUCCUGUGCCUGAACAUCAUCUUGCUGCGCUGGGUGGGAUCUUCUCUUUCAGUGAAUAUUUUCCCCGGGCUAUGGCUCUUCAGUCAGCUGUCAACCUAAUGCUCAUCCAAAGAAAAGGAGCUUCUACCCACAGCUGAAGGGAUAAUUUGCUGGAUUAGUGAGAGGUGAUGCCAGACUGUAUAAAAAGUUUUCAUACAUUUUCAAGGGCAUUGUGGAUUCUAGUUUUGACUUUAAAACUCAUUCCCAAGUGAGAUAUUAUGCUGUAAAUCUAUCACUUAGUAUCCCAAACUGUAAUUCAGUGGAGUACAAUCUAUAAUUUUGUAAUACAUAUUAGGAGACAAUUACAGUGGGAGUGGGAAAACAGACCUGGCUAUUACCUUUAAGGGGCCAAUAAAUAUCUCAGUUGCACCUUUUAAUAGUUUAACCAAGAUAUUCAAAACAUUUCUUAAGUUGACACCAAAUUCUUCUGAAAACCUAAGACUUCCUAGAGUCUUGGUCUGGGACACUUCAGAUUUCGAUUUGAUGACACUGCUAAUUGAUGUAUGUAAUAAAUGCUAUGCUUACAUAGAGAAGCUGAGCUAUACAUUAGUGAAAAUAAUUUGUUCUAACUAGGAAAAUAUAUAUAUGAGCCCUUACUUGCUUUUCCUUAAGCAAAUAAAUAUUGUGC
ensembl:lncRNA